GUUUUAUUAUACAUUAUAUGUUGUACAACAACCAUUCAAAAAAAAAAGCAUCAGGUUUCAUACGAAAGGGUACAUAGGAAGCACCAACCCGUUGUAACCCAAACCCCCAGAGGGAGUUUGGGAGGGAGGGCAUUUCCUACAAGAAGUGCACAUGGGGUUGUGAUGGAAAUUUUUGAAAUGUCCGAGGAGUGCACCGUUUGCCUUGUAAGAAAAACAAGGCCAGCAACAUCCUCAAGGCGCUUCAGUAAUGAUCCUUCCGCAGGUUCACCUACGGAAA
rnacentral:misc_RNA from 1 species